rnacentral:rRNA from 1 species
AGCGAACGCUGGCGGCAGGCUUAACACAUGCAAGUCGAACGGGCGUAGCAAUACGUCAGUGGCAGACGGGUGAGUAACACGUGGGAACGUACCUUUUGGUUCGGAACAACUGAGGGAAACUUCAGCUAAUACCGGAUAAGCCCUAACGGGGAAAGAUUUAUCGCCGAAAGAUCGGCCCGCGUCUGAUUAGCUAGUUGGUGGGGUAAUGGCCCACCAAGGCGACGAUCAGUAGCUGGUCUGAGAGGAUGAUCAGCCACAUUGGGACUGAGACACGGCCCAAACUCCUACGGGAGGCAGCAGUGGGGAAUAUUGGACAAUGGGGGCAACCCUGAUCCAGCCAUGCCGCGUGAGUGAUGAAGGCCCUAGGGUUGUAAAGCUCUUUUGUGCGGGAAGAUAAUGACGGUACCGCAAGAAUAAGCCCCGGCUAACUUCGUGCCAGCAGCCGCCGUAA